GACGAACGCUGGCGGCGUGCUUAAUGAAUGCGAGUCGAGCGAGAACCGGACUGAGGAAACCUUCGGGUGGAAUCAGUCUGGGGAGAGCGGCAAACGGGUGAGUAACACGUGGGUAACCUGCCCCUCAGACGGGGAUAAUUCGCCGAAAGGCGGACUAAUACCCGAUGGUGAUGUGCCAACACAUGUUGAUACAUCUAAAGGCUCCGGUGCUGAGGGAGGGGUCCGCGGCCGAUUAGCUUGUUGGUAGGGUAACGGCCUACCAAGGCUUCGAUCGGUAGCCGGUCUGAGAGGAUGACCGGUCACACUGGGACUGAGACAUGGUCCAGACUCCUACGGGAGUUAGCAUCAGGGAAUCUUGCGCAAUGGGCGAAAGCCUGACGCAGCGACGCCGCGUGGGUGAUGAAGGCCUGCGGGUCGUAAAGCCCUGUCGGGAGGGAAGAAACAGCACCUUCGGGUGCUUUGACUGUACCUCCGGAGGAAGCCCCGGCUAAUUACGUGCCAGCAGCCGCGGUAAUACGUAAGGGGCCAGCGUUGUCCGGAAUUACUGGGCGUAAAGAGCACGUAGGCGGUUAGGAAAGCGAUAGGUGAAAUCCCCCGGCUCAACCGAGGAACUGCUUAUCGAACUGCCUGACUAGAGCACGGGAGAGGGCACUGGAAUUCCUGGUGUAGCGGUGGAAUGCGUAUAUAUCAGGAGGAACACCGGUGGCGAAGGCUGGUGCCUGGAACGUUGCUGACGCUAAGGUGCGAAAGCCAGGGGAACAAACGGGAUUAGAUACCCCGGUAGUCCUGGCCGUAAACGAUGGACACUAGGUGUUGGAGGUUCGACCCCUUCAGUGCUGUUAAGCUAACGCGUUAAGUGUCCCGCCUGGGGAGUACGGUCGCAAGGCUGAAACUCAAAGGAAUUGACGGGGGCCCGCACAAGCGGUGGAGCAUGUGGGUCAAUGGGAUGAUACGCCGAGAACCUUACCAGGGCUUGACAUGACCCUGAUCCCCUGCGAAAGCAGGUCUUCUGGGCAACCAGACAGGGCCACAGGUGGUGCAUGGUUGUCGACAGCUCGUGUCGUGAGAUGUUGGGUUAAGUCCCGCAACGAGCGCAACCCUCGCCGGAUGUUGCCAGCGGUUAGGCCGGGCACUCUUCCGGGACUGCCGGAGUAAUCCGGAGGAAGGGGGGGAUGACGUCAAAUCUGCAUGCCCCUUAUGUCCUGGGCUGCACACGUGCUACAAUGGCGAGUACAAAGGGUCGCGAAGCCGCGAGGCCCAGCUAAUCCCCAAAAACUCGUCCCAGUUCGGAUUGGAGUCUGCAACUCGACUCCAUGAAGUCGGAAUCGCUAGUAACCGUGGAUCAGCAAUGCCGCGGUGAAUACGUUCCCGGGCCUUGUACACACCGCCCGUCAAGUCACGGAAGCCGACAGCACCCCAAGUCCGCUACGGCGGCCCAAGGUGAGGUCAGUGACUGGG
rnacentral:rRNA from 1 species